rnacentral:rRNA from 1 species
UACAGAGGGGGCAAGCGUUGUUCGGAAUUACUGGGCGUAAAGGGCGCGUAGGCGGCCGCCUAAGUCAGACGUGAAAUCCCUCGGCUCAACCGGGGAACUGCGUCUGAUACUGGGUGGCUUGAAUCCGGGAGAGGGAUGCGGAAUUCCAGGUGUAGCGGUGAAAUGCGUAGAUAUCUGGAGGAACACCGGUGGCGAAGGCGGCAUCCUGGACCGGUAUUGACGCUGAGGCGCGAAAGCUAGGGGAGCAAACGGG